rnacentral:rRNA from 1 species
CUAGUGAUCGAUAGUGAACCAGUACCGUGAGGGAAAGGUGAAAAGCACCCCGGAAGGGGAGUGAAAGAGAUCCUGAAACCGUGUGCCUACAAAUAGUCAGAGCCCGUUAACGGGUGAUGGCGUGCCUUUUGUAGAAUGAACCGGCGAGUUACGAUCCCGUGCGAGGUUAAGCUGAAGAGGCGGAGCCGCAGCGAAAGCGAGUCUGAAUAGGGCGUUUAGUACGUGGUCGUAGACCCGAAACCAGGUGAUCUACCCAUGUCCAGGGUGAAGUUCAGGUAACACUGAAUGGAGGCCCGAACCCACGCACGUUGAAAAGUGCGGGGAUGAGGUGUGGGUAGCGGAGAAAUUCCAAUCGAACCUGGAGAUAGCUGGUUCUCCCCGAAAUAGCUUUAGGGCUAGCCUUAAGUGUAAGAGUCUUGGAGGUAGAGCACUGAUUGGACUAGGGGUCCUCAUCGGAUUACCGAAUUCAGUCAAACUCCGAAUGCCAAUGACUUAUCCUUAGGAGUCAGACUGCGAGUGAUAAGAUCCGUAGUCAAAAGGGAAACAGCCCAGACCGCCAGCUAAGGUCCCAAAGUGUGUAUUAAGUGGAAAAGGAUGUGGAGUUGCUUAGACAACUAGGAUGUUGGCUUAGAAGCAGCCACCAUUUAAAGAGUGCGUAAUAGCUCACUAGUCGAGUGACUCUGCGCCGAAAAUGUACCGGGGCUAAAUACACCACCGAAGCUGCGGAUUGAUACCGAAUGGUAUCAGUGGUAGGGGAGCGUUCUAAGGACAGUGAAGUCAGACCGUAAGGACUGGUGGAGUGCUUAGAAGUGAGAAUGCCGGUAUGAGUAGCGAAAGACGGGUGAGAAUCCCGUCCACCGAAUGCCUAAGGUUUCCUGAGGAAGGCUCGUCCGCUCAGGGUUAGUCAGGACCUAAGCCGAGGCCGACAGGCGUAGGCGAUGGACAACAGGUUGAUAUUCCUGUACCACCUCUUUAUCGUUUGAGCAAUGGAGGGACGCAGAAGGAUAGAAGAAGCGUGCGAUUGGUUGUGCACGUCCAAGCAGUUAGGCUGAUAAGUAGGCAAAUCCGCUUAUCGUAAAGGCUGAGCUGUGAUGGGGAAGCUCCUUAUGGAGCGAAGUCUUUGAUUCCCCGCUGCCAAGAAAAGCUUCUAGCGAGAUAAAAGGUGCCUGUACCGCAAACCGACACAGGUAGGCGAGGAGAGAAUCCUAAGGUGUGCGAGAGAACUCUGGUUAAGGAACUCGGCAAAAUGACCCCGUAACUUCGGGAGAAGGGGUGCUUUCUUAACGGAAAGCCGCAGUGAAUAGGCCCAAGCGACUGUUUAGCAAAAACACAGCUCUCUGCGAAGCCGUAAGGCGAAGUAUAGGGGGUGACACCUGCCCGGUGCUGGAAGGUUAAGGAGAGGGGUUAGCGUAAGCGAAGCUCUGAACUGAAGCCCCAGUAAACGGCGGCCGUAACUAUAACGGUCCUAAGGUAGCGAAAUUCCUUGUCGGGUAAGUUCCGACCCGCACGAAAGGUGUAACGAUUUGGGCACUGUCUCAACCAGAGACUCGGUGAAAUUAUAGUACCUGUGAAGAUGCAGGUUACCCGCGACAGGACGGAAAGACCCCGUGGAGCUUUACUGUAGCCUGAUAUUGAAUUUUGGUACAGUUUGUACAGGAUAGGCGGGAGCCAUUGAAACCGGAGCGCUAGCUUCGGUGGAGGCGCUGGUGGGAUACCGCCCUGACUGUAUUGAAAUUCUAACCUACGGGUCUUAUCGACCCGGGAGACAGUGUCAGGUGGGCAGUUUGACUGGG